GGAAGGUUGCCCGAGCCUGGUAAGGGGACAGUUUGCUAAAUUGUUGCCGGGGAAAACCCGCGGGGGUUCAAAUCCCUCACCUUCCG
rnacentral:tRNA from 1 species